rnacentral:piRNA from 1 species
UAUGCCCUGGAGACUGCAGAGAAAUG